UCUUCUGAAACAAGUGAAUUUUAUUGGGAGAACACAAGGGUUCUUUAAAAUGCAAGAAACAGAAGCAGCAAACACAUUGUAAAGACACAGCAAUGAGGAUAGCAGAAAAGUAUCACACCGAGUUGGUAUGGCCAGGGAACUCAGUCACACAGUAAACAGAGGGUGAGGGAAGGUCUCCGAGAAAAGGCUCCUACUGGAAAGGCUACUCAGCCUGAGACCUCGGCGGUCACCCUGUAGAAUACACGGACAGGACAGACACAUCUGGACACGUCUCCACAUGUACAGUAUUUCAAAAGAUUUCUUGAGUAAGCACAAAAGCACACGUUGUAAACAAGGAAAACAACCCAAAGUCCAACCUAAUGCCAAAGUCACAGUACCCCGACAUCAAUUUCUGGUCACAUGACAAGUAGCUGAUGUCACAGGCCCCAUCUCUGAGUCGAAGUCCUUCAGGUGAAGUUCAUGGGUUCUGGAGAACCGCUGUGAGUCUAGGAAAGUCAACACCCUGUGGACUAAAAGUUAUCCUUACACACGGCCAAUGCUAAGGCUCCAUAUAAGUGGAAAGUCCAAGGCCCAAAAGAAUCCACACGCAGUCAACGCCGUUACCCCUUUAACCAUGGAGAAGCAGUCUUCCCUUCAGUCCUAAAGCUAAAGACAUUUGAGAGGGAGCGCUCAUCUGUAGUCAGGGGAGGGCCUUUAAUAUUAUUUUCUGAAACCACUUUCUUGAGGGAUGAAGGAAAGAAUGACCCAAAAGAGCUGUACAUAUUUAAUGUAUAUGAUUUAAAGACUGUGGAAAUAGGUAGACAUCUGUGAACCAUUACCAAAACCUGUGCCAUAAACAGACCCAUCCCCUCCAAAGUUUCCUUCCACCCUCUAAUAAUAAUAAUAAUAAUAAUUACCAUUAUUAUUAUUUUGUGUAAUAAGAAGACAACAUAGAAUGGACACACGUAGCAAAUCUUUCAGUACCCAGCCCAUCUCUCCUGGGCUCUGGAGAAGUGGCCCAGCUGCGUGGUCCCCGGCUUUAACCAUAUUUCACACACGGCAGCUCAGCAACGCCCCCACGACAACAGUCCCCCAGUUGAUCCGAGAGCUGGCUCGACCACGGGCCUUUCGGCACUCUGGAAGGCCGCUGUGUCUGACUGCUGGGGGACACUGAGAAAGGCAGUGACUCCCCCCAGGAUUCACUGCACAGCGCCCACGGCUGUUCUCUGAAGUGGAGAAGCAGCAGCACGCUAGGUCUGCGCAUGAAGAAGGAGAGGCAAGGGAAGCUCAGAAGGCCAAGGCAAAUAUCAACGUGGAGCUGGCCUGACCGGCCACCCUCGGGAAUCCACACACUGUGCUCCUGGAGUCAGCACGAUGGACUGAGAGGGCAAACUCGAAUCCCGCGGGGUCUAGAGGAGAUCAUUCAAAUGGUACGGGAGUGCCCACAUUUGCACAUUCUUUCCACCCUUUUGAGAGGACAGCACACGAACUAGCCAUAAAACAGGAUCAGAGUCCUCUCCUCCUACCAAGUGUCAUGUCACCUCUUGUGUGUCACAACACACAGAGAUCAACCCUCUGACUUCACCUGCAGACAAACUCAGUUCGCUGGGAAAACGGAAAAUGACAGUUGUCACCACAAUAAACAUCUUAACUGGACAAGGGAGCCAUAUUAUCUCAUAUCACGUCCAUCAGUGUCCACUGUGACCUUCUGGCCCACGGAUAAGAUGACCCAAAGGUAGUGCGGGAGAAUGUAUGUAGGGGACACGAGACACAGCCCUGAACCCACGAUGCCCAUCACAGCUGUCACACCAAAGUCCCUUUUCCUUCACACUCUCAAUUUUUCAUUCUACUCUCACAGUGUGCUUAUAUCUCCACUCGGCACUUAUGUGCCCGCCUCAGACUUCAGCAAUGGAGAGAAAUCAACAGCGAAAUAUAGGAAAACCAGAGGAGGCGUCCUCUUCUCAAACUGCAACUGUCCACAUCCGCUUGCCCCUCCAUAGCUGCAGCAUCCAACACUGUGCCGACGCCCCUCACCGUUGUGGACAGCACCCACUUCCCUGAGAGUGCACACAAGGGCAGAGGGGCAGACCACCAAGCAGCAAAACCUUCUCACAGAAACAGGGGAA
ensembl:lncRNA